rnacentral:rRNA from 1 species
UACGGAGGGUGCGAGCGUUGUUCGGAAUUACUGGGCGUAAAGGGCGCGUAGGCGGUUCGCUAAGUUGGAUGUGAAAACUCUGGGCUCAACCCAGAGCCUGCAUCCAAAACUGGCGGGCUAGAGUUCUGGAGGGGGUAGCGGAAUUCCUGGUGUAGCGGUGAAAUGCGUAGAUAUCAGGAGGAACACCGGUGGCGAAGGCGGCUACCUGGACAGAAACUGACGCUGAGGCGCGAAAGCUAGGGGAGCAAACAGG